rnacentral:misc_RNA from 1 species
UUUCCGUAGGUGAACCUGCGGAAGGAUCAUUAGAGAUGGCCGUGGUGGCCUAAAGACCCGCGCCGCAAGGCGUGAACCCAACCCAACCUGUGAACCGUCGGCUUCGGCCGUCAAACAUUACACUUCUGAAAGACCUGAAAGUGAUAUACAGAAACAAAUACAACUGUCAGCAACGGAUCUCUUGGCUCUCGCAUCGAUGAAGAACGCAGC